UACGAAGGGGGCUAGCGUUGUUCGGAAUUACUGGGCGUAAAGCGCGUGUAGGCGGGUCUUUUAAGUCAGGGGUGAAAUGCCAAGGCUCAACCUUGGAACUGCCUUUGAUACUGGAGACCUUGAGUCCGGGAGAGGUGAGUGGAACUGCGAGUGUAGAGGUGAAAUUCGUAGAUAUUCGCAAGAACACCAGUGGCGAAGGCGGCUCACUGGCCCGGUACUGACGCUGAGGUGCGAAAGCGUGGGGAGCAAACAGG
rnacentral:rRNA from 1 species